GGAUUGGAGCUAUUGGUGACAGACUGCAGUGGUUGGUGAUGAAUAUAGAGACUUUGCAAACUCUUGUUAAGUGUUUCAGGAACUAAAGAGAAAGAGCAUAGCAGUUGCUGCACUCAAGUCACUUCAACAUAAACUUGAGAAAUACAAGAUAGAGUUGAACAACUCGUAUAAGAAUACUCGAGUAUACUUAUAACUUGUUCAUGUUGCACAAAAUUGAUUACUUAUAAAUUGAGAUUAUAUUUGUACCAAUCUAAUGAAAUAUAUUUUGAUUAAGUUUGCUAUGUAAUUUUUAUCUUUGUAAUAUGUAAAUUUGGUUUAUUUUUUGAUUGUUGACUGUUGUUGGUGUAAUAAAUUUAUAAAAUUGUUGAAUAAAAAAGUUAGUUUAUUUAUUUUAUUAGAAUUAGAACUAAUCAAAUAUAAAUUUAAUGUUACCAAUGCUAAUUUAAUUUAAUUUUUGAUGUGCAUUCUUUUACUGAAAUUGCUGCAUUGAUUGUGAAACAUGGGGGCAUUGACAACAUAUUUGCAAUCUCCUCUGGUAUGGAAACUUUACGACAGUUAAAAAAUGUCACCAUAGAGAGUCAAUCACGACACCUAAUAACUGUCGGCGUUGCCAGCAACAACAACACCUAUUAACUGUCGACAUUGCCAGCAACAACAACACCUAUUAACUGUCGACAUUGCCAGCAAUGGUGACAAUGUUUAAUUGUCGGCGUAGCUACCCCUACACCGACAUAGGCAAAUACAACAGUUAGUCGACUGUCGUCUUUGCUCAAUAGCGACAGUUUGUCGCUAAAAUCUAUCGGGAAAAUCCAUUUUUGUAGUAGUGAAUAAUAAUCAUAUAUGCACACAAAAUAUGUAACAAAAUUUCACA